GAUCAUGGCUCAGGGCGAACGCUGGCGGCGCGCCUAACACACGCAAGUCGAACGAGCGAGAGGAGGUUUACUUUCUCAAGCGAGUGGCGAACGGGUGAGUAACGCGUGAGGAACCUGCCUCAAAGAGGGGGACAACAGUUGGAAACGACUGCUAAUACCGCAUAAGCCCACGACCCGGCAUCGGGUAGAGGGAAAAGGAGCAAUCCGCUUUGAGAUGGCCUCGCGUCCGAUUAGCUAGUUGGUGAGGUAAUGG
rnacentral:rRNA from 1 species